UUUGGAUUUAAUUUCAACCCAUAAAACCCACCAAUUCGGGCAGGGUGACUAUAUUGCAAAUCACCUUUUUGUUGUUUAAAUAAGUAACCUGCUCACAUACAAGGACAGCAAAAGAUCAGAAGCUACAAUAAUGGUUACUUCUCAUAUUGCCUUGAAGUUACUUGUGAUAUUAUCCUAUCUGCUGAUGUAUAAUGAAAGGCUUGGAAAAGAGGUGAUUAAAGAGGAGUUGAAGAGCUGGAUUGCAAAGUAAUUUGACAACACAUUUACGAAGAGUUUCCACAGGCAGGAAUAGGUUUUGCUAUCCUUUCCUUUGCAUAUCAACUCUGCUGUUUUGUUGCUCAUUGGCUUCCGUUUUCAUCCUUUAUCUCUUGGCAGUAGUUAUGCCAUCUUUCCCCACACAUCAAAACAUUCCAAGUCAGAGGUAUCUAAGAUCAAGGGAGUGCUGCUAAGCAGUGAUAACGACAUCGGGGCUCUAUCCUCCCUUUCAGAGCAAGUUGAAGAAGAAGACAAGCUAUUACAAUUUUACUAUUCACAACCUUGGUAAGCAGUUAAACAUGAGAAAACCAGUUAAACUUUAACAUUUUAAUUGAGAAGGCAAACCUUAAGUGCUUUCUUUUAGCUAGCAACCACUUCUAAAAAUUCACAUAACUGAUUAUGUUUAUCAACUACAUAAUCAAUUUCAGUUUCACAUAUUACUAUUUUACACCAAAACACAAACAUAAUUAAUUAUAAAUAUUUUUUUGUAACAAGCUUGCUAGACUUGAAGUGGCACUCAGAGGCACCCUAUUUGGACACAUCCUCAAUUAUACGCCACAAUCAAGACCAUUCAAGAUGUCCGGAUGUUCCUUUAACAUUAGCUCUUUGCUUGGGACAAGUGCUCUUCUACAGCACUUAACAUCAAAACUGAAGGAGAUUUCAGAGGCAACAGCAUGAAAGUGCAAGAUAAUAAAAUACACUACAUUAAUUGCUUUCCUCCCAUCAGUAGAGACUACCUUUAUAAACUGGUAAGUGGAACUCAUUGUUCAAUAUCCAUAUAAACUUUUCAGACAGCAGAAAAACAAUUUGAUAGUAUCACUUCCACUUUCAUAAUCCAGCUAUAACAUUUGCCAAUUAUUCUGCUAAGAGCUGGGAACAUUAAGACAACAAUGAAGAAAAAGUGGUAUGCUUUAAAAUCCAAGCAGCUUAAUGACCACAACAAGCAUAUUUUAGAGUAUUUGGAAUGGAAGUUUUUACUUCCCUUUUCCCAAAGGGAGCUAGCUCUAUUUAGAAACUUCUCCUUAUGUCAGCACUAUUAACUUUAACCUUUUAAACUAUGCUUGUAGUCAAGAGUCAUGUUAGUGUUUUCCAGCCUUAAUGAAGAGUAACUUAAUGGUACAAUGACCAAAGCU